UAUGGUGGUACCAUACCAGCUUGUCAAAGCCUAAUCUUGUCAGAUCUCAGAAGCUAAACAGGGCUGGGCCUGAUUAGAACUUGGAUGGGAGACCACUGGGAAUACUCGGUGCCACAGUGU
rnacentral:rRNA from 1 species